UACGUAGGUGACCAGCGUUGUCCGGAUUUACUGGGCGUAAAGGGCGCGUAGGCGGUCAGCACAAGUCAGUUGUGAAAUCUCCGGGCUUAACUCGGAAAGGUCAACUGAUACUGUGCGACUAGAGUGCGGAAGGGGCAACUGGAAUUCUCGGUGUAGCGGUGAAAUGCGUAGAUAUCGAGAGGAACACCUGCGGCGAAGGCGGGUUGCUGGGCCGACACUGACGCUGAUGCGCGAAAGCCAGGGGAGCGAACGGG
rnacentral:rRNA from 1 species